GCACACAUGCUAUUUAUUACUGCCCCCACAGAGUAGGAUGUAUCAGAACACACAGGCCGUAUCUCCGUAUCACCGCUCCUGCAGAGUAGGAUGUAUCAGCGCACACAGGCUAUUUAUCACCGCCCCCGCAGAGUAGGAUGUAUCAGAACACACAGGCCGUAUCUCCGUAUCACCGCCCCCACAGAGUAGGAUGUAUCAGAGCACACAGGCCGUAUCUCAGUAUCACCGCCCCCGCACAGUAGGAUUUAUCAGAACACACAGACCGUAUCUCCGUAUCACCGCCCCCGCAGAGUAGGAUGUAUCAGAACACACAGGCCGUAUCUCCGUAUCACCGCCCCCGCAGAGUAGGAUGUAUCAGAACACACAGACCGUAUCUCCGUAUCACCGCUCCUGCAGAGUAGGAUGUAUCAGAGCACACAGGCUCUAUCUCCGUAUCACCGCCCCCGCAGAGUAGGAUGUAUCAGAACACACAGGCCGUAUCACCGCCCCCGCAGAGUAGGAUGUAUCAGAACACACAGGCUGUAUCUCCGUAUCACCGCCUCCGCAGAGUAGGAUGUAUCAGAGCACACAGGCUAUUUAUCACCGCCCCCGCAGAGUAGGAUGUAUCAGAGCACACAGGCUAUUUAUCACCGUCCCCGCAGAGUAGGAUGUAUCAGAGCACACAUGCUAUUUAUCACUGCCCCCACAGAGUAGGAUGUAUCAGAGCACACAGGCCGUAUCUCAGUAUCACCGCCCCCGCAGAGUAGGAU